rnacentral:rRNA from 1 species
AGAGUUUGAUCAUGGCUCAGGAUGAACGCUGGCGGCGUGCCUAACACAUGCAAGUCGAGCGGUAUAUACUUAAGCAAAUCUUCGGAAGAGCGAGGGUAUAGAGAGCGGCGGACGGGUGAGUAACGCGUAGGCAACCUGCCCCAUACACAGGGAUAGCCUCGGGAAACCGGGAUUAAAACCUGAUAAUGCGAAAGAGCUACAUGGCUUUUUCGCCAAAGAUUUAUCGGUAUGGGAUGGGCCUGCGUCUGAUUAGCUAGUUGGUGGGGUAACGGCCUACCAAGGCGACGAUCAGUAGCCGACCUGAGAGGGUAAUCGGCCACAUUGGAACUGAGACACGGUCCAAACUCCUACGGGAGGCAGCAGUGGGGAAUAUUGCACAAUGGGCGAAAGCCUGAUGCAGCAACGCCGCGUGAGCGAUGAAGGCCUUUGGGUCGUAAAGCUCUGUCCUUGGGGAAGAAAAAAAUGACGGUACCCUUGGAGGAAGCCCCGGCUAACUACGUGCCAGCAGCCGCGGUAAUACGUAGGGGGCAAGCGUUAUCCGGAAUUAUUGGGCGUAAAGAGUGCGUAGGUGGUUUUGUAAGCGCGGGGUGAAAGGCAAUAGCUCAACUAUUGUAAGCCUUGCGAACUGUAAGACUUGAGUGCAGGAGAGGAAAGCGGAAUUCCUAGUGUAGCGGUGAAAUGCGUAGAUAUUAGGAGGAACACCAGUGGCGAAGGUGGCUUUCUGGACUGUAACUGACACUGAGGCACGAAAGCGUGGGGAGCAAACAGGAUUAGAUACCCUGGUAGUCCACGCCGUAAACGAUGAGCACUAGGUGUCGGGGCCGCAAGGCUUCGGUGCCGCAGUUAACGCAUUAAGUGCUCCGCCUGGGGAGUACGCACGCAAGUGUGAAACUCAAAUGAAUUGACGG